rnacentral:tRNA from 1 species
GCCGAUUUAGCUCAGUUGGUAGAGCACCCGCCUUGUAAGCGGACGGUCAUCAGUUCGAGUCUGAUAAUCGGCUCCA